CUACAGUUCCACUCCAUAAUAGUUUUAUAAAUGCUAACCAUUUAACCUAGAACAUAAAACUUCACUUUAAAAUUAUUAUACAAUUUACAAAAACAGGAGUUAUUCGAUUUUGGUCGUAAAACUUGAAUCUAUUUAAAUAAACGUAGAACAGUUUAAAAUUGUUUGUACUUGGAAAAUGCAUUGCACGUAGACAUAUGUAUAAAAAACACAUUUAUACACUCACAACUUAGUGGCUUAUGGUGUAUUCAAAAUCAAUUUGAAAUUAAUUAUGUAUUAAAAGCAUUAUAGUGUGUCAAACAAUGGCAUUUUUGUGAUCCAUAAAAAUCCAUUUAUCGAUGAAUGUGAAAGUUUGAAUAAAUCCAUAAUAUUUUUAAUGCUUGUUUAUGCACCCAUAUUACACACUUGACAUAACUAUACACUGAGUAAGAUUGUCCGAGUUAUAAAUGAUAGUCUUAUGACUACUCGUAGGAUUAUGGAUUAGUGCCAAUUUCAAUUCAAGGGACAGGAAAAUAAAACCUACACAAACAAUAAGGAAGAAAAAUAAAUCAUAUAGACUUGAAGUACAAAAAGUGUGUUACCAAUUAAUUUGUAUUAUCUUCAGAGCAUUUAUUGGUGAAGUUUCGAUCUUUAAGUUUGUAUAUUGACACAAAAUAAUACAAAGUGGCUUAAGAAGGAUAAAUAGAACAUACGAGUCGAGACAGCUGAUUGACUAUGGAUUUGUAAUUUCUUUUCCUUCUUUUCUACACAAAUGGGAAAACGUUUCCGUAUUAACAUUUCGUUCUUUACAAAUCAUAAUUCGUGGUUAUUAUGGAAAAUACCACUCUGAUAAUACUUACAUAUCUAUAUGUCUAUAUACAUGUAACCAAACAUAAUUUCAUAAUUUAUUUAUAUGGAAUCAAGCGUUACUAAUAUUCUUACAUUGCUCAAUGCCGAUCACAAUAAAGAAUGUUGAAACCAAAUUAAAAAUAUGUUUCAUUAUUUGUUAAAAAUAUUCGAUUGCUUAAAUUCUCUAAAGAUGAAAAUACUCAAACACUAAGUCAAUGUUCAAGUUGUGAUUUAUUGAAUGAUUAAAAUUAGUGAAGUAGGAAAACAAGGUUAGCAAAAAAGAUAUCCUCGAUUUGUAUGUUUAUUUUUGUUAAAUUAGAUUUUAAUCUUUAUUUUUUUUAUUUUGAUUAAAAUUUCCCUGUAAGAUAAAUUAGAAACUAAAACCGCACAGCUCAUUGUAACAAUAGUGUGUGUUUGAGAUUUCAUCGAUAAAUUCAUAGAAUGGAAAUAUUUAUUUUUUUUUUUUUUCAAUUUUCAUAAUAGCAGUUUUUGAUUUCAACAAUUUAACAAAAAUCAACUGGUUAACAAAUGCUAAACAAUUUAAUAGUUUUCGAUUUACAGUUUUACGGAAUAAAACUCUGUCUCUGAUACUAAUUGAAGUUUAUUCCUCAAAUAAAUUCACUUCAAUUAUUGGAAUGAAAUUAGUUAAAUAACAAUGCAUUUACUUGGAUACACUUUGAAGCAUGGUGUUGCGUUGUUUUUAAUAAAAAUGUCCAUGGGAAUUGUUAUAUUAACUCUCGCUAAUUAUAAGCAAUUAUAGCUAUAACAACAAAUACUCAUUUAAACCCACGGUUAGCGUAAACAAUAAACAUGACGAUUAAAAAUACCCACCAAUGUUAUCCUUGUAUCAACUAAACACUCAUUAAGGAUCUAUAUUAUGCUAACUAGCUAGCUAGAUACGUUCUAAAAACCUAUAAUACUGCGAAAACCUCAACAGGUUUUUCGAUAAAAAUAAAGUAAAUCACUCAAGUUGGCUCAGUUAUUUAGUAUUUUUUCACUGUACGUACAUACACAGAUACUUGAUAUCGAUAAGUCGGCAACUACACACUUUGAUGACCUAAAACGCUUAUAUCAUCCUUUAUCAAAAAAGGAUUGUUUAACACAUGAAUGCAUUUUGACUGCACAUAUUGCCAAAAUCAAUAUUUUAUUUUUAACUCUACGUCCUUUCAUCUCUUUCUAUCAUCACUCGCUGGCUUUAAGAAAACAAGCAAGUCCUAGGUUCAAGUACCUAUAGGCACGAUUGCCACUUUAGUAAUUUAUGACCAAAUUUGGUUAUUAUUGUGGGCUUUGUUAUUUUUAACGAAAUGAAUAGAUAAAUACUUCCUAUUUUUUUAAAAGUUGCGAUGCAUAUGAACUAUGUAUAUGACAAGUGUUGCAUUCGUACAAAUUUUCGAACUUGAGAUAUUAAUCAACCAUGACAUUGCGUUGGUAUAGAAGUCGCAAAAAGGGGAUCCCGUUAAUUCUUCUGUCUGUCUGAUUGCAUAUUGUUUUGAUCUUAAACAAUAUUGAAAAACGCGAUUUAACUUCCGAGUUUGAACUCAAUCGACAAAAUGGUAAAGGCUGUAGGUAGGUAGAUAUGAAUAAAUAAAUACUUCCUAUUUUUUUAAAAGUUGCCAUGCAUAUGAACUAUGCAUGUAAAUACAUAUAGGACAAGUGUUGCAUUCGUACAAAUUUUCGAACUUGAGAUAUUAAUCAAACAAGACAUUGCGUUUGUAUAGAAGUCGCAAAAAGGGGGUCCCGUGAAUUCUUCUGUCUGUCUGCUUGCACCUACAGCCCUUACCAUUUUGUGGAUUGAGUUCAAACUCGGAAGUUAAAUCGCGUUUUUCAAUAUUGUUUAAGAUCAAAAAUAACAGUAGUCCCCAUUCAAUUUUUUGGUCAAAAAUUUAAAAUUCCAAAUUACUCAAAAAUUUCCUUAAA